GGCUUUAUAGCGACGAAUUUAAAACGAAACUACAAAGUUUUGAGUUGAAGUACGAAACAAUAAAUUUGGGGACUUGGCCACUUUUGCAAUGGCAUUGGUUUCAGAACUUUUAGCCAAGUCAAUCUCGUAAAAAACAAAUUGCGAAAUAAAAUAAACAUUGAAAUGUUUAACUCAAUUUUAUGCGUCAGAUACGGUUUAUGUCGGUCAAACCAAUGCUGUCCCAAUUAUGAAAUGCUGAAAAAGUAUUUAGAUAUGAUUGGCACUAUGGGAUCGUAUGACAGGGAAAUUGAUUGUGAUGACUUAGAUCAAAUACUAAACAUUUUGUAAAAAUAA